CGGGAUCACAGGCGUUCGCCACCACGCCUGGCUACACUGCUUCUCAAGAUGCUGUUUAUUGUUCGCCCACAGCUCCAGCUUCCUCUCUGUGCGGUCUUUGCCGAUGGCAAGAACAGACAGGCUUCUCGGGGCCUUCAAGGCGUGGGCACAGUGCGCUGGUGCUGUUUGCGUCUGCGCAGUGCCUCCCUGCGGCCCGACCGGAAGCCGCUGGGGUCUUGGGCACUUCCUGUGCGCCGCGGUCUCCCAAGGAAGACGGUGUUGCGUUGGCUUUAUUUAUCAUGGAGGAAAACGGGGCUUAGGAAUCAGAGUAGGGUUCGAUGGCGCAGGAGUGAGAACUAGGAAGCCAGUGACUCGGUUUCCCCGACAAUCCCUGCGCACUGCUGCCAAGGGGUCCCGAAGAGACCCGGCCAGCCCUGUCCUCCCAUCGUCCGGGCGCACUGAGGAGGCCCAGACACCGGAAGGAAUUGCACGAAGAUGGAAAUAACAAUCCUCGUGAGCGGAGAGCUUGGUCAGUGGGAUUGCCAAGAGGGACAAAGUUGCAGCACAUAAAUGGGUCUCACUAAGUCUAAGUUGCCCAGGCUGGGUUGAGCUCGUUGCUGUCUGGUGAGAGAGACCGUGGCAGGGAGAACAGUGAGGAAGCCGCUGACACAUGGCACCCAGGGAAAGAGGAUGGUGGCUCGGACUGGAGCGGCAGCAGAAGGGGGUGAAGAUGAGGAAUUCUGGAGGCGAAGCCAGCUCCUCGGGAUUCGGGUGCCACGUGAGACCACUGUUACUGCACGUUCACGUCCUCCCUGAGAAACUUCGGAAGAGAAAUCUGGACGCUCCAGGAGCCGCUGUUUACCCAGAGGGAUUUACAGAUGAGAGUUUGCCUUAAGUCUCAGAGGAGAUUUUGGAUUUGGAAUUUUGAGCAGUGCUGGAACUGUUGAGACUUUGGGGAGAACAACAUGUUUUCAGUUGUAGCUGGGAUUUACAAUUUAGAGAAAGCCAAAUUUGAAGAAGUUGAUCUUUCCUGCUUACACUGGUUAGAUUUUGGAAAUCUGGAAAUGGAGCCAUUGGCAUUUCAAGAAAGUUCUGUCUGGAAAAAUAAAUUCUGUGACUUGUGUGCAACCCUUGAGAAGAUAGAGAACAUGGAAUGUGAGGGAGAACAAAGGACUGCAGGUGGUAGCUCUGAAAAUGAAAUCCUUAAAGUGUGGAAUUCCGUGCCGAAUAAUUGUAAGUCAAUGAAAGCACUUGGGAUUGCUUUUCUUACUUUGUUUGGAACAUCUCAUGUUUGUGAGCAGUUGUGUUCAGUUUUGAAUUCUAUCAAAUCUGAUACAGGAAACAGACUGACUGAUGAUGACCUGAGUCUGCAUGUGUUGCUCUCAAGCUAGCAAAGUGUGAGCCAAGGUUGACAGAUUAUCAGAUGCAUAGGACAGCAAGAUCACAUUAAUGGUGCAAAAGCAUGCCAAAUGCAAAC
rnacentral:lncRNA from 1 species